CUUUACUGUAGCCUGGUAUUGGGUUCGGGCUUUGACUGCGGAGGAUAGGUGGGAGACUAUGAAGCUGCCCUUGUGGGGGCAGUGGAGUCAUCAGUGAGAUACCACUCUGUCAAGGCUAGAAUUCUAACCGUCUGCCGUUAUCCGGCGACGGAACAGUAUCAGGUGGGCAGUUUGACUGGGGCGGUCGCCUCCUAAAUGGUAACGGAGGCGCGCAAAGGUUCCCUCAGACUGGUUGGAAAUCAGCCGAAGAGUGUAAGGGCAGAAGGGAGCUUGACUGCAAGAGCAACAACUCAAGCAGGGACGAAAGUCGGCCUUAGUGAUCCGACGGCGCUGAGUGGAAGGGCCGUCGCUCAACGGAUAAAAGUUA
rnacentral:rRNA from 1 species